AACAUGUAUUCAAUGAUGCUUUAUGGCCUUGUAAUUUUUGUUAUCAUAAUUAUUGUAACUUAUAGUCACCCUCAGGAAGAGUAGCCAAAGUAGGACCAGUUGCUGAUGAUGCUAAGAUGGGGAAAUGAUUAGAUUAACUCCCCAGAUGAGUCCAAGAGAAAGCUGUUCAGUUUCUUUUCUUUGUUCCUCAAGUCCAUCCAUGAGUUUGCCUCUAUGAAUAGUGUGAAGAUAGGUUUAGUAUGAGAAAGCAAAAUAGACUAGGGUUAAGCAACCAUGGAGGCAGCUAGGGGACUCAAUAGAUAGAGUGUGCCAGGCCUGGAGUGAGGAAGAGUCAUGUUCCUGCAUUUUAAUCUCACUUCAGACACUUACUAACUGUAUAAUGCCAUGAACGUCACUUAACCCUGUUUGCUUCAAUUCCUCAUCUGUAAAUGAGCUGGAGCAGGAAGUAGCAAACCACUACAAUAUCUUUGUCAAGAAAAUCCCAGAUGGGGUCAUGAAGAGGCAAACAUGACUGAAAAAAGACUGAACAAUAAGCAGCCAUUAGGGAGGUUUGAAUCUGAUGCUGCCUUAGAAUCCCAUCAUCCUUGGCAACAUCAUGGUUGACCACAACUCCUUCUAGUGCGUUGGGGAGAGGAUAUUCCUUCCUUCCUCAGUGUUGACCAAUAAUGAAAUGUUCACCUGAUUAAAGGGAGAACUUUUAAGAUCCCCCUUAGAGUAGACCCAUGGUCUCCAAUGAAUCAUGUGGGAUUGCUCCCCUGGAGGAGUUGGCUUUCUAUUGGCCAUGGAGUCAGACUUUCUUUAUUCAUAAAUAAUCCCAUUGUUGACAGAACCAAGGAUACUCCCUUGCCCUGGGGGAGGGGAGAAUAGCUUUGGAUAUAAAAGGAAGCAUGUAACCUGAUGAAAAUUUAUGGGACCAUUCCUCUUUGACUUCUAUCUUCCUUCUGGUUAGCCUUGAAAGUCUCCAGCCUCUUGACACUACUCCAACCUUUCUGCUUAGCUGGGCCAGAGCAUACAGUCUUCCAGGAAAAGGUGCAGGAUGAUAAAUACUCCAUACCACUUCAGUGAAUGGAUAACCAUCUAAACAAAUACACUUGGAAGGAAAUUUUCCAGUAAGUUUCACUGACUAUGUACUUGGAAUCUGCCUACUUAGAGGCCCACACAUUCUGAAUAUUAUCAGCACGUUGGCAUGGAGAGUUUUGCCCUGGACCCAAAAAAUAGCUAGAGUACCCUGACCUGGAGCAGAUCUGCCACAGACUCCAUUGACAUCAAACAAAGGCCAACGGUCAUUAGGAGUCCACCAUCUUGCCAGGACCUGUUCUUCACACUUCCUAUGUGCCAGGCUCUGGGGAUACCAAUAAGAAAGACAGAACUUGCCAUCUAAUGGGAUGAAAGUGAUUUGUGAAAUGGAAGCUGAAAGGGGAAGGGGGACCAUCAUGGAAUCUAAACCAAGCUGAUGGAAAAUGGAGAGCUACCUGGAACAUUCUAAAAGUCUGCUACUACUAUGUUGUUCAGAUGUGUGUCUGACUCUUCUUGUAAUGAUUUAUCAUUUCUUUCUCCAGUUCAUUUUGCAUAUGAGGAAAUCGGGGCCAAUAAGGUUAAUUGACUUUUACAGGGUAACACACCUAGGAUGCUCUGUGUUCAGAUUUGAAUUUGAGUCUUCCUGACUUCAGGCCCAGCACGCCAUCUGUUGUGCCACCUAGCUGCCCGUGAAAGUUUAGAGCCUUCUAUAGAAAAGCUUUGGGAGAAAUUUACUGCUCUGUCCUCUAGCCCUCUCGGUCAGAGGUCAGAGACAAAUGAAGGAGUUGAGAAAGUGUUGAAUGUCAAAAACUGAAUCAGUCUGCAUAGAGAAGAGAUUUCUAGUGAUCAGCUUAUCCUGGGAGAGGAAGAAACCAAGCAGAGCUGCUGAUGGAAAAUGGAGAGUGACAGAAGAAACAGAAAAUGCUAAGACUCAGAAAGAAAUACCUACAAACUUUCAUUUUUAACUGUUGUUACUCUUAAUAUGGGGUUUUUGUCCCAUGACCACAAGUUGAUACUUUAUAGGAAGUCAUGAGCUAUAUCUCUCUUGAUUUUUUUUUUAAGCUAAGUAUGUGUAAUCAGGUUUCCAACCAAGCCAAGGACAUUUUGCCUACAGCUGCAUAAGCACAAGGAGAUUCUGAAUUCCUAGAAAGAAUGUUGUAUAUAUGCAUAAGGAAUGGGGUUGAGGCCAGAGCUUCCUAGAAAAAAUAACCCAUGGGGGCAGGUAGAAGGCACAGUGCAAAGAGUGCUAGGCCUGAAGUUGGGAGGUCCUGGGUUCAAAUUUGCCCUCAGAAACUUCCUAGCUGUGUGACCCCGGGCAAGUCACAUAACCCCAAUUGUCUAGCUUUUGCUACUCUUCUGUCUUAGAAUUGAUGUGAAGAUAAAAAGUAAGGAUUAUAAGGAAAGAAGGAAGGAAGAUGGAAGGGAAGAAAAAAGAAAGAAAGAAAGAAAGAAAGAAAGAAAGAAAGAAAGAAAGAAAGAAAGAAAGAAAGAAAGAAAGAAAGAAAGAAAGAAAGAAAGAAAGAAAGAAAGAAAGAAAGAAAGAAAGAAAGAAAGAAAGAAAGGAAGGAAGGAAGGAAGGAAGGAAGGAAGGAAGGAAGGAAGGAAGGAAGGAACAAAUGUGCUUCCAGAGCUUUUUGGGAGGGAGACAAUGGGUGGUUCCUGAGUCUCUUGAGAAGCAAGCAAGAAAUCAGGAAUAUGUUGAAGAACAGGCUUCCCUACAUAUUUUCAACUUUCAAAGUCCUGGUCUUACUGUUCCUUAGACACUCUGACAUCUUUUGUAGCCCUUUCCCCAAAACCUCACUACCAGUAUGUAUCUCUCUCACAAAAAGCUCUGAAUCCAAAUCAGUGCCUUAGGCAGGUCUGGAGAGUUACCUCUGCAUUCUUUCCACCAAUCUUGAGUUAGAUCUCCUUUCAAAUAUACAGCAGCAUGCAAAAUGCUCCAAGCUCUACUGGAAACCUGAUAUAACCAAAAGACAUAAAGAAAUCAUGGCUCUCAGUGUUAUGAAGAAAGAGUUAAUGGAACUGGUUUUCCUGUUUAUCCAAGGUCACGAGGAAGCAUCAUUUCAUGAGACAUUGGGUCACAAACUUGCAGUACUCAGAGUAUAAAAAAGAGGUCCUUCAUGAAGAUUUGGCAACUUAUGUGUUAAAAAUCUGCUGCAUGGGAUGUAGAAGUGGAGAAAUUCUAUGAAGAACUUCAUAAAAUCCUCUAAACCAAUUAAUAUACAUCUUGAAAAUCAGUGACUUCAAUGAAAAGGAAAGAAACGCAGCAAAUACAAAAGCUAAAGAAUUAAGCAAGAAACAAUAAAAAGUCUUGUCGAUUACUAACAAAUGUGGAGGGGAAAACGGUUAAGUUACUCCAAAAUGAGAGGUCUCGAUUCUCAGGAAUUGGCAAAUUUGAGACAGAGGUUCAGGCAUAGGAACCUGGGAGGUCAGUAGGCUAUUCAAAAAGUAAAUGGAAAAGCCUGGAUUAGGUGUGAAUGGGCAAAAAACUAAGGUAAUAUAGCCAGGAUAGAAGGGCCAAUGCCACAAAUUAUGCAGGAUGGAGUGGGCACAAUGCAUUACUAUUAAAUAGUUAAAGGAAUGUUUAUAAUCAAAUCCAGAAUCAGUUACACAGAAACAUCAAGUGGUCAACUAGAGAGGGCUGCAGAAUGAGAUGUACAUUUUGGAUCUAGCCAGUUUGGGAAUUUAUUUUUCUUAUCAAUGCAUAGUGCUUAUACAUGGUGUUUUUUAUUUCUUGCCAGCUUAGAGAUGAAGGUGAACAGGAAAAGGAACCUAGUCAAGACAAGUCAACUCAACAAACAUAUAUUAAGUAUUUAUUCUAUGUCAGUUACUAUGCUGAGUGCUAGAAAUACAAAUAUAAACAGAAACACAGUCCCUGCCCUCAGGAGCUUAAAUUCUAGUGGAGGAGAAGAGAGGGAUUAAAGGGAAGCUGGAAAGCGGAGUGGGGUGGUGGAAUGGGGGACAAAAGACUCAGGAGUAUAGUAUGGAGAGGAAUAAAGGCAUGGCUGACCAGGGCAUCCUCCUUAAGAAUAGCAUUUCUAGGAGAAAUCAGAUUUCCACUGUGAGAAGUCUUAGGGGUGGAAUGAGCUUCCAGGUUGGAGAGAUUUCUCUAGUAUUGUAGAUAAAAUCCAGAGAGUCCAGACUAAAGAAGAAUGAAGCCCUAAGGACACAGUUCUCUCCACACCCUCCAAAGUGCAGAAGCAAGGCCAGAAGGAAUCCUAGAUAAACAGGACAGGUUUGGCACAAGAUAGCUUCUCAGAGUGAUCAUAGAUCCUACAGGAUUCCGUGUCCAGAGGCAACAAGAGUGCAGGGAAAGGUCACCUGAAAAAGCACCAGGGUGGUCAAAAAACUCUAGAGAGGGGAUUCUGGAAGCUUCAGGGAAUGACACCAGCUAGUAAAUGCCUUAGAUUGACUAUUAAUUGAGGAGUGACUGAACAAACUGUUGGAAUAUUGUAAAAAAAUAUUAUUAUUUAAAUUGCAAAGUUUAAAUUCUUUUUGAGAAGAAUUUUGGGUAAAGAAAGAUGAUACCUCUCUGAAUCCAGAACUGAACUGUUGGAGAAGCCACCAUGAAGAAGCCUCCAGACCAUAAGCUGCACAAAAAUGAACUUUGGGUGUAGUUGAUUGAACAUUUAUUUGUAUGUAUACUUUCAUGUCAAAGGGGACUGCCCCCUAACUGGCUUUUUGUCAAUGAGUCUAGCAAUUAUUGGUUUUGGGUUUUUUCCCCCUACCUCAUCCUCAAAUUAUUGUAAUCUUUAAGUUGAUUGUUUUCAUGAUCCUUUUUGGGGAAACUUCUUCCCCAAUAACGAUCAAACGAGGGAAUGUAAAAACAGACUCAAAUCCAGGACUUCAAUCCCCACAAGCCUUUGCUCCACUUCCCCAGAAUGCUUUGUAAUCUCACCUGGGCCGAGAGCAAGAUGGGGUAUUUAAACCUGGUUGUGAAUAGGCUUGGCCUCUUUUGGACUUCCAUUUUGGAGCAGACACGUCUCUUUCAUGAUGUGAGGUUAUCUUGUCUAGGCCUCUGGCCUAGACACGUGUUUUUCUUAUUCUGUAUUUUCUUUAAUCCUUAACCUUUAAUAAACCUCUAAAAAUAUAAUACUCCUUGCAGAGAGAAACUAAUUUCUACCUGCCUCAGUCUCCCCAAAAUUUUAAUCUUUACAAUAUGAAUGCAAUGGAAUAUAAUGUCACUGCAAGAAAUGAUGAAAGAAGCAAUUUCAGAGAUUCUUGAAGUCAAAAAAACCAGGAGAAAAGUUUAUAUGAUAAUAUCUGCAAAGAAAAACAAUUUUAAAAGACUUAAGAAUUCUGAUCAAUAAAAUGAUCAACCAUGUCUCCGUAGAGCUCUGAUGAAACAUAUUACCCACCUCCUGACAGAAGUAAUAGAUGCAAAGUAAAGCAACAUUAAUUUUUAGACAUGGCUACUAUGUGGAUUAGUUUUGUUUGACUAUGCAAAUUUGUUUCAAGAGUUUUAUUCUCACUCUUGAUAGCUACUUUAAGUGGAGUGAGAGUGUUUGAUGGAUUGAUUCAAGAGAUCCCUAUCUUGAUUUAAUUUAGAAAAGAAAACCAAGUUCAACAUAAUAGAAACAUGUAGAUUCAUGUAUAAUCUUUUCCAACUAUUCUACAAUGUAUAUG